AGCGAACGCUGGCGGCAGGCUUAACACAUGCAAGUCGAGCGGGCACUUUCGGGUGUCAGCGGCGGACGGGUGAGUAACGCGUGGGAACGUGCCCUCUGGUUCGGAAUAACUCAGGGAAACUUGAGCUAAUACCGGAUACGCCCUUUUGGGGAAAGGCUUGCUGCCGGAGGAUCGGCCCGCGUCUGAUUAGCUAGUUGGUGAGGUAACGGCUCACCAAGGCGACGAUCAGUAGCUGGUCUGAGAGGAUGGUCAGCCACACUGGGACUGAGACACGGCCCAGACUCCUACGGGAGGCAGCAGUGGGGAAUAUUGGACAAUGGGCGCAAGCCUGAUCCAGCCAUGCCGCGUGAGUGAUGAAGGCCUUAGGGUUGUAAAGCUCUUUUAUCCGGGACGAUAAUGACGGUACCGGAGGAAUAAGCCCCGGCUAACUUCGUG
rnacentral:rRNA from 1 species